rnacentral:rRNA from 1 species
AUUGAACGCUGGCGGAAUGCUUUACACAUGCAAGUCGAACGGCAGCACGGGGGCAACCCUGGUGGCGGGUGGCGAACGGGCGAGUGAUACAUCGGAACAUGCCCAGCCGUGGGGUAUAACGUAGCGACGGAUACGCUAAUACCGCAUACGAUCAGAGGAUGAAAGGGGGGGAGCUUCGGGCCUCGCGCGCUUGGAGGGGCCGAUGUCGGAUUAGCUAGUUGGUGGGGUAAAGGCCUACCAAGCCGACGAUCUGUAGCUGGUCUGAGAGGACGACCAGCCACACUGGGACUGAGACACGGCCCAGACUCCUACGGGAGGCAGCAGUGGGGAAUUUUGGACAAUGGGCGCAAGCCUGAUCCAGCCAUUCCGCGUGCAGGACGAAGGCCUUCGGGUUGUAAAGUGCUUUUGUAGGGAACGAAAAGCCUCUGGCUAAUACCUGGGGCUCAUGACGGUACCGAAAGAAUAAGCACCGGCUAACUACGUG